CCUACGGGUGGCAGCAGUGGGGAAUAUUGGACAAUGGGCGAAAGCCUGAUCCAGCCAUGCCGCGUGUGUGAAGAAGGCCUUCGGGUUGUAAAGCACUUUCAGUGGGGAAGAAAGCCUUGGGGCUAAUACCCUCGAGGAAGGACAUCACCCACAGAAGAAGCACCGGCUAACUCCGUGCCAGCAGCCGCGGUAAUACGGAGGGUGCGAGCGUUAAUCGGAAUUACUGGGCGUAAAGCGCGCGUAGGCGGUCUGAUAAGCCGGUUGUGAAAGCCCCGGGCUCAACCUGGGAACGGCAUCCGGAACUGUCAGGCUAGAGUGCAGGAGAGGAAGGUAGAAUUCCCGGUGUAGCGGUGAAAUGCGCAGAGAUCGGGAGGAAUACCAGUGGCGAAGGCGGCCUUCUGGACUGACACUGACGCUGAGGUGCGAAAGCGUGGGUAGCAAACAGGAUUAGAUACCCGGGUAGUC
rnacentral:rRNA from 1 species